rnacentral:lncRNA from 1 species
CUUCCUGGAAGUAGAUAAUAUGUGGCUCCUGGACAGCUUUUUACACUCAUAUUCAGCAUUCAAUAAAAAACUGCUAGGCACACACACCAAAACAAACAAACGUACUGGUUAACAUGAAUAAAAUUUAGAGAAAAAAAACAAACAAUAUACAUGACCUACAGAUAAACAGAUAUUAGGAUUGUUUAAAAUAAGUAUGACUAAUAUGUUAAAACAAGGCAUAAAGAAAAUAGGUAGAAUUUCACCAGAGAAAUGAAUAAAAUGGAAAUUAAUUCUGGAGUUGAAAAACAUAGUAUCUGAAAUUAGAAACUAUUUGAUGGUGUAAUAGCAUAGUAGUUGUAACAGAUUGUAGGAUUAGAGAAGGUAAAACAGGGUGAUAUUAAAUAUCCAAAUAGAAUCACAGAGGAAUAAAAUAACUGAAAAUAUAGACAAGACUAUUUAGUCACAUGUGGAACAUAAUGAAAAACUCUACAUACUUUUGAUUGCAAUCCUAGAAGGACUAGGAAUGGGGAAUAAGCGAUGAUUAAUGGAAUAAUAACCAAGAUUUUGCCAAAAGUGGUGACAAAUUCUCACCCCGCAAGAUACUCAGUGAAACCCAACUAGAAUAAAAAAAUAAACAAGCACACCUAGGAAUAUCAUAGGAAGAGAAGACUGCUUAAGACCCAAGUCAAAGAGAAAAAUCUUAAAGGCAACCACAUGAAAAUGACACAUCCCUUUCAAGGGGCAACAGAAAAAGGGAGAAUUGACUUUUUAAAUCAAGAUACCAAAAGAGGGAGUUCCCGUCAUGGUGCAGUGGUUAACGAAUCUGACUAGGAACCAUGAGGUUUUGGGUUCGAUCCCUGCCCUUGCUCAGUGGGUUAAUGAUCCGGCAUUGCCGUGAGCUGUGGUGUAGGCUGCAGACGCGGCUCGGAUCCCGCGUUGCUGUGGCUCUGGUGUAGGCUGGUGGCUACAGCUCCGAUUGGACCCCUAGCCUGGGAACCUCCGCAGGAGCGGCCCAAGAAAUAGCCAAAAAAAAAAAAAAAAAAAAAAAUAGCCAAAAAAAAAAGAUACCAAAAGACAGAAAUGAUGCCUUUUCUGAAAAGGAGUCCUGAAAGAAAAAAUUAACUACCAGACUAGAAUCCUGUUAGCAGAAAAAAUUUCCUUCAGAAAUGAAGCUUUCAAACAGACAAAAACUACAAGAACUCAUCAGUCACAUCUGCGCGAAAAGAAACACAGUCAGUGAAUUCUUUGGGCAGAAGGAAAACAGUCCUGAAGGAAUCAACAAAUUUCCAGUAAGAAAUGAAGAGCAAGAAUACGAUUAAAUAUAAAUUGAUACUGAUUGAAUAUUGAUUAUUAAAGGCAAAAAUAGUUUCUUUAUCAUUUUAAAGUUUUACUGAAAGUAUAGUUGAUUUACAAUGUUGUGAUAAUUUGGUAGUUUCUUAAAGGAUUUAAAUAUUUUAAAAUGUUAAUUCAUCACAAUAGUAAUGUAAAAGGCAGGGGGUAUAAAUAGAUUAAGGAAUUCUAAGGUUCUAAGCAUUAUCACGGCAGUGGUAAAAUAAUUUCUAUUUAACUCUUGUAGAUCAAAUAUGUAAUCUCUAGGAUAAUCAGUAGAGAAUAAAUAAAAAAAUAAUUGAAGGAAAGAUGAAAAAUAAGAAAUAUCUAAAUAAUCCAAAAGAAGAAAUGAACUUUAGGGACCAACAGAAAAAUUUAUAUAUAAAUACAUCUGUUUUUUUUUUAAGGCUGCCCCUUGGCAUAUGGAAGUUCCCGGAUCAAAUAGAGCCCUAGCAGAGAACUACACCACAGCUGCAGCAACGCGAGAUCCUUAACCCACUGUGCUGAGCCAGGACUGAACAAGGGCCUUCACAGAGACAAGGCCGAUCAUUAACGCACAGAGAGAACUCCUCAAACAGAAACAUUUAGACGGUAACUGUAGGUGGAAGAAUAUCAACUGUUACAUUAAUUGUAAUUGGAUUAAAUGAUCCAAUUAAACAACCAAAUUUAUCAGGCUAGGUUUAAGAAAAAUUCAGCUAUACAAACUAUCACAUAAAUAUGUGUGUGUGAAUGUGUUAUCACAGAAAGGUGAAAAAUUUUAAAACAGAAAAAGAUAUAUAAUACUAACCAAAAUAAACCAAGUGUAGUUAUGCUUACUUAAGACAAGAGACUUUAAGGAAGAAUGCAUUAUUAAAGAUAAAGAGAGAGAUUUCAUAAUGAUAAAGAGGUAAUGUACCAGAAAUAUGUCCUUUCUAAGGCUGAAUAUAUCCCUAUAAGAUAAUUACAAAAUAUAUAAAGUUAAAUUGAGAGAACAUAAAAGAGAAAUAGGCAAAUCCACAGUCAUAGUAGGAGGUAUAAUACAACUCUCUCAAUUGCAGAGAGAAUAAGAAGAUUUGAAGAAAUUUACAUACUUGGUACACUGGAGAAUACACAUUCUUUUUAUAUGCAUAUGGCAUAUAUCAAAGUUAUCUAUAUUCUGGGUCAUAAAGAAAGCCUCAAAAUCUUGUUAAAUUGAAAUGACUCAGUGAAAUUAGGACAGAAAUAGGGAGUUCCUAUCGUGGCUCAGUGGUUAACGAAUCUGACUAGGAACCAUGAGGUUGUGGGUUCCAUCCCUGGCCUUGCUCAGUGGUUAAAGAUCUGGCGUUGCCAUGAGCUGUGGUGUAGGUUGCAGACUCGGCUCAGAUCCAGCAUUGCUGUGUCUCUGGCGUAGGCUGGCAGCUACAGCUCCAGUUAGACCCCUAGCUUGGGAACCUCCAUAUGCCAUGGGUUUGGCCCUUGAAAAGAUUAAAAAAAAAAAAAAAGAAAAAAGACAAGAAAUAAAAAUUUAACAAGAAAUCCCCAAAUGCUUCACAAUUAAAUAACACAAUCCAUGGGCCAAAGAAGAAAUCAUAGCAAAAACUUUCAUAUAUUUUGAACUGGGUAAAAAUUAAGAUCUGGAGUUCCUGUCAUGGCGCAGUGGUUAACAAAUCCGACUAGGAACCAUGAGGUUGCGGGUUCAGUCCCUGCCCUUGCUCAGUGGGUUAAUGAUCCGGCAUUGCCGUGAGCUGUGGUGUAGGUUGCAGACGCAGCUCGGAUCCCGCGUUGCUGUGGCUCUGGCUAGGCCGGUGGCCACAGCUCCAAUUCGACCCCUAGCCUGGGAACCUCCAUAUGCCGCGGGAGCGGCCCAAAGAAAUAGCAAAAAGACAAAAAAAUAAAUAAAUAAAUAAAAAUAAAAAAAUUAAGAUCUAUCAUAACCAGAUUUACAGGGAAAUUUUUAAAUUUUGAAUGCACGUAUUAGAAAAGAAAGAUUAAAAUCAGUAAUCUAAGCUUUCAUCUGAAAAAGCUAGGAAAAGAACCAAUCAAGUACAAAUCAAAUAAGAACACAAACACAUAGUAUAUAAAUAAACAAAUAAAUACAAUAGCUGACAAAGGUACAACCAAGAAAGUCAAUAAAACUGAAAGCUGAUUCUUUGUAGUAAUUAAUAGAUUAAAAACUCUUAGUAAGACUAAUAAUAAAAGAAAACAUCAAUUACCAAUUUCAGGUAUAAAAAAGGAACAUCACUACCAAUCCUACAGAUAUUAAAAAAAUGAAAAGGGAUACAUGAACAACUGCCAAUAAAUUUGACAAUUUAUAUAAAUGUAAAACAUUUUAAAAACACAACUUGCUAAAACUGAAAUAAGAAGAAAUAGGAAAUGUGAUUAGUCACAUCUAUCAAGUAAGUUAAACAUUAUUAAAAACCUUGCCACUCCAGUUCAGACUAGUGAAUUCUUCCAAAUACUCAUGCAAUAAUUAACACCAAUUUAUACAAACUCUUUCAAAGGACUGAAAAAUAGAAACUAUUACCCAAAUCACUUGGGUGCUAGCAUAACUUCAAUGGAUUACAACAUCCAAACCUAAAUACGAUGUUAUAAGAAAGGAAAAUGAGAGGCCAAUCUCCUUUAUAAACAGAUGGAAAAAUUCGUAACAAAAUAUCAGUAAAUAAAAUUCAGAAAUAUAUAAAAGGGAAAUGAUAAGUUAUGAGAAAAUUGUGUUAUUUUAGGAAUACAAAAGCAAUUUAUUAUUUGAAAAUUGAUCAGUUUAAUUGAUAUCAUUAACAGAUAAAAGAAAAAUCAUUUGACUAUCUCAAAGAAUAGAGAAAAAGUCACUUGCUAAAAUUCAGCACACAUUCAUGGUAAAAUUGUUUGCAAACUGAAAAGAAGGGAAUUUUCAGAAUGUAUUUUAAAAUCUACAGUAAGCAUUGAAGAAAAAGAAUAAAACUUGACUUACCCAUCAGAUAAUGAAAUUUAUGAAGCACAGUAAUUGAGACAAUAUGGUAUUGCUGAAUAAACAAAGAGAAGAAUGAAAAAUAAGACUUGAAUAAACCUAUCGUCACCUGAUUUAUGAAAAAAAUGACACUUCAUAAACAUGGGGAUUGGAACGUCUUUUCAGUAGAUGGUACAAAGUCAUUUAGAUAGUUAUAUGAUAUCAAAAAAAUAAUUUGAUCCUAUCAUUCAUAUGAAAAAAUUAAUUUUACAUGGAUUAUAGCUCUAAAUGUGAAAAGCUAAGUAGUGGAUUUUUCAAAAACACCAUUACAACAAGUUUCAUGAUUUUGGCAUAUACAAGGCUUUAAAGAGAACACAAAAAAUUCUAACCAUAACUGAAAAAUAUUUAAAAAAAUAAGUUCAGUUUUAUUCUUCAGAGAUAUCACAGGAAAAUUAAAAUGUAAGCCAUAAAUGGAAGAAGAUAUUUGCAAUACAUACUUCUGAAAAAGUACUUAUACCCAGAAUAUGUAAGAAGCUUCUAAAGACCAUUAAGAAAAAAAAGGGGAAAUGCCCUAACAAGAAAAAUAGACAAAAAGACUUAGGCACUUCACAAGAAUGCACCCUAGAAAAAUAAACAUGUGGGCGUUCCCACUGUCGGGUUAUGAACCGGACUAGUAUCCUUGAGGACCCAGGUUUGAUCCCUGGCCUCACUCAGUGGGUUAAGGAUCUGGCAUUGUUGUGAGUUGUGGUGUAGGUGACAGACACAGCUAGGAUCCUGGGUUACUGUCGCUGUGGCCUAGGCCUGAGACUGCAGCUCCAAUUCAACCCCUAACCUGGGAACUUCCAUAUGCCUCUGGUGCAGC